AAGGAUCAGUAUAUAUAUUUUUUUUUCACAUAAAAAAGGGUAUUAUUUUUUUAUCGCAUUAGUAAACUACAAUAAUGAAAAAUAUAAAUGACUUUUAUUUAUGCGUAUAUAUUUCUAAUACACAUGUUCAGUACUAAAAACUGGGUUGCCAUACAUUCACAUCCUGAAAAGUAGGUCUCCUCAUAAAACAUUCAAGGAAAAAAACUGGCCUAACUGUUCUUUCAUAGUGUCAGAGUGGGGCGACAGUUGAAUACAGUGUUGACCUGAUUAGAGCGACUCACAUCAGUGCGAUAAUAGCACAUAAAUACCAACAAAUCUACACAGAAAACUGCAUAUACAGUAUGUGUUUGUGCCACGUAGAAAAAGUUUAGGAACCACUGUGAUAAACCCAGCCGUUGUUUGUUGACCAUGUGUUAAAACUCAGACCCCAUUCCAUGAUUAAAAUGCUGCUGUACAAUAUAAGCAAUAAGGUUUAUUACAUACAUGAGAUGUGCGCUGUUUCUGAGAACGUUAAUCAGCCGGUAAGGAAUCAGCCAGUUGAUCCGACCUCCGGCCCCUCCUGCUGAUUCCUUGCACUUGAACAGCACUGACCUUAAGGCCUUCAGCUCUCCGCUCCACUCCCUCCACACAGCCUGGAGAAACCAAUCUAAAGCAGCCAGGCUGUGAGCUGCACAUUAAAUGAGAGCGGUUUCAUUCAUGAAUAAAAUGGAAAAAAGUGCAGCCCUGCAGCCCUGCACGCAAACUGUCCCUGUACGAGGGAGACAGCGUCACAGGUGGAGUGUGGGACGAUCCAAGCAGAGAGGUGUGAUUCACCAACCACUGACUCAUUGUUUCAUUGUUUAUUUAGAUGAGCAGAACCAGGUGGAACCAUGAAUAUUCUCAAUUAAGGGGCUCUUCAUUUAUCCCCGGGAUCGUGCAGCAGAAAUUAAAAGACAAUAGGUGGAUGAAAUGGAUCUGAUUAUAGGGCCGCAUUCAUCCUCACGUGGUUUUUUUGUAUUAAUGCUGUCGCUGUAGUCACGGCCAUGUUUUGGUGAAGACAAAUAAAUAUAAAAAUAGUGAGCUGCGAGGACGGGGUCGGUGUGUCAUCCGUACACACGCUGUGAUGCUUGAUGCUGCUGCACCGAGCAGACCCAGUCCAGGUGUAUUAUGAAUUCAGAGGUGGUCAUCUGAGCUGAUGGAAGAAUCUAUUAUCAGAGAGCUAAAAAUAGUCUGUCUAUAGGCUGUGGCCUGAAUUAGAGAUUUGAACCUGCUGUGUGUCCUUGUGCCUUUGGUCUUAACUGAUAUUUCACAUUUAUGUCACAAGCAUGUGCAGCUGGUAUAUGAAUACAUGUAUUCUGUGGAAAAAUGAUGUUUUAUGGCAAGUCCUGUGAAUUAUGGUUUUUUUUAGAUAUCAUUUGUCAUGUACAGAGUCUUACCUUAAUGUCAAGGUAUAACAAUUUGAGUCAGGUCUAAGAUUUUAAAACUCCAUUUAAUGCACUUGAAAUGAAAAUGAAAUGUCAGGAGACUGGUUUUACUUGUUUACCAGGAAGUACAAAAAAAUAAAUAAAUCUGUGUCCAAACACGUUCUGGGAAAAGUUACUGGAACAUAUCAGAUAUAUUUCCGUUUCUUUAUUUUAUUUUUUGGUUGGUCCCCUCUUCCCUUUGCUCUUUAUCCUUCAGAACUGCCUUUUUCAUUCUCCACUCCUGAUCGCAGAAGAUAAAUACCCAUUGUUGUCAAGUCUUGACUAGUUAGUGGAGAGAAUAUAAUUAAAAAAAAUAAAGAAAUAUUUCUGGUAAUUGAUUUUAUUAAGAUGCAGGUUUGGUUGAAGGUCUAAAAUGUUAUUAAGAAAUGUCUCAUAUGUUCUCUAUUUAUUUCUGUUUUUAUUUAUUUUUUUAUUUAUUUGUACAUACACAGAUCUACACGUUCUUUCACAUUAAUAAUUAAAUUUACGUCAUUUCCUCUCCCUGGUUUGCGCAUGCGUACCAGGAGCUUUACGUUCUCAUUUUAAAAACAAACAUUUGGCCAUCCUCGUGUGUGGAUGUCACAAGGGUAAAGAUGAUAUGAGUAACUUCACAAUGUAGUUUAAACUACAUUAUGAAGCAGUUUGUUUCUCGAGAAACUUUUUUGACGGCAAUUUAAUCUGCUAGCGUGUGUUUAUUGCUGCAGUCCAGCGUUUUCAUCACAGCGGAUGGCUCGUCCGGAAAAGAACCAACCAAAAGAAACCCAUCCUGCUGCAGGGCCACGAUCGGUCCACCACUCAGAUCAAGUACAACGGAGAAGGCGACCUUCUGUAUUCCAUCGCUAAAGAUCAGUGACCAACGUGUGGAAUGACUCGGUACCUACAACGGACACACGGGAGCAGUGUGGUGCGUCGACUGUGACUGGGACUCCAAAAAAUGUCUUCACAGGAUCAGCCGACAACAGCUGUCGACUGUGGGAAAGUGAGACCGGUGGGUGAAAAGAAAAUGCAUGCGUUCAUCAGUGCCUCAAAAGACAACACCGCCAAGGUGCUUAUGGGAGGUGGGCAGGAGGCCAUGGAAGUGACCACAGGAUUGGCAAGUUUGAGGCCAGGUGAGUUGAAGUGGUGUUUCUAGAGUAUUAUUGUGUGGUUGAAUAAAGCAUCCAGUGACUGUUGUCUUCAUCGAAACAAAUGAAAGAGAUGAAGAAAAAAUUAGCACUGAAGAAGCCAUGACUUUGUUACAAACAAAGGCCUUUAUGUAGUGAUGACAUAUCUGUUUAAGGCAUUGAAUUUGUAUAGUUGUUGAUAGUGGUGUGUAAACAUUUAGUUGCUAUCACAUUUGAUUGUGCAACAGCAGUGCUGUUGACG